rnacentral:rRNA from 1 species
GAUGAACGCUGGCGGCGUGCCUAACACAUUCAAGUCGAACGAAAUUCGAGGUGCUUGCACCUUUAAUUUAGUGGCGGACGGGUGAGUAACGCGUGAGUAACCUGCCUAUAUGAGUGGAAUAACACAGGGAAACUUGUGCUAAUACCGCAUAAUAUGUAUUAUUCGCAUGUGUGAUACAUCAAAGAGCAAUCGCAUAUAGAUGGACUCGCGUCUGAUUAGAUAGUUGGUGAGGUAACGGCUCACCAAGUCGACGAUCAGUAGCCGAACUGAGAGGUUGAUCGGCCACAUUGGGACUGAGACACGGCCCAA